rnacentral:rRNA from 1 species
UACAGAGGGUGCAAGCGUUGUUCGGAAUUAUUGGGCGUAAAGGGCGCGUAGGCGGUGCUGUAAGUCUGUAGUGAAAUCUCUGGGCUCAACUCAGAGUCUGCUAUAGAAACUGCAGUGCUGGAGUGUGGGAGAGGUGAGUAGAAUUCCCGGUGUAGCGGUGAAAUGCGUAGAUAUCGGGGAGGAACACCUGUGGCGAAAGCGGCUCACUGGACCACAACUGACGCUGAGGCGCGAAAAGCUAGGGGGAGCAAACGGGG